rnacentral:rRNA from 1 species
CCUACGGGUGGCAGCAGUGGGGAAUAUUGCACAAUGGGGGAAACCCUGAUGCAGCGACGCCGCGUGAAGGAAGAAGUAUUUCGGUAUGUAAACUUCUAUCAGCAGGGAAGAAAAUUACGGUACCUGACUACGAACCCACGGCUAACUCCGUGCCAGCAGCCGCGGUCAUACGUGGGGGGCAAGCGUUACCCGGUAUUACUGGGGGGAAAGGGAGCGUAGGCGGCGAUGCGAGUCAGGAGUGAAAGCCCGGGGCUCAACGCCGGGACUGCUUUUGAAACUGUAAGGCUAGAUUGAUAGAGAGGCAAGUGGAAUUCCAAGUGUAGCGGUGAAAUGCGUAGAUAUUAGGAGGAACACCAGUGGCGAAGGCGGCUUGCUGGACUGUAAAUGACGCUGAGGCUCGAAAGCGUGGGGAGCAAACAGGAUUAGAUACCCGAGUAGUC